rnacentral:rRNA from 1 species
AUUGAACGCUGGCGGCAGGCUUAACACAUGCAAGUCGAACGGUAGCAGGAAGAAAGCUUGCUUUCUUUGCUGACGAGUGGCGGACGGGUGAGUAAUGCUUGGGAAUCUGGCUUAUGGAGGGGGAUAACUGUGGGAAACUGCAGCUAAUACCGCGUAUUCUCUGAGGAGGAAAGGGUGGGACCUUAAGGCCACCUGCCAUAAGAUGAGCCCAAGUGGGAUUAGGUAGUUGGUGGGGUAAAGGCCUACCAAGCCUGCGAUCUCUAGCUGGUCUGAGAGGAUGACCAGCCACACUGGAACUGAGACACGGUCCAGACUCCUACGGGAGGCAGCAGUGGGGAAUAUUGCGCAAUGGGGGGAACCCUGACGCAGCCAUGCCGCGUGAAUGAAGAAGGCCUUCGGGUUGUAAAGUUCUUUCGGUAAUGAGGAAGGGAUGUUGUUAAAUAGAUAGCAUCAUUGACGUUAAUUACAGAAGAAGCACCGGCUAACUCCGU